UCCUAACGGAAGGUUUUUAUAAUCAUUUUAGCCCUUGGGGAAUGCAGUUCCCUUCAUGCGUGGAAGUCAGCUCCUGGACGUUGGACUUGCAAACCCGGAAUGCAUCAUCUACAAAAGCAAGUGGCUGCCUGCCCGGUUUCACACGCUUGCUUUCAUCAUCGAACACCAUACUUUAGAGGUUCCAGAACCUUCCGCCAAGCUACCCCUUUCAUGACUUGCACAAGAUUACCACGAAAGGAGAGGUGGACACAGACCCAACUUGCCCCGAUGUGCCUCUUCAAGGACCCGGCAACACGGUUCACCCACGAGAGCCGGUGUGCCGUGGAUGCGGCUCAACCCGAUGCCCCGGCAGGGACGGUGAGUGGCCCGGUACCGCCCCCACGCCCGCUGUGCCCGCCUGGCCUCCCAGCCCCGCCACCCAACCGCAUCCCCGUGGGGUGGGAGGGGGGCACUCACCCCUCGCAGGGACUCGGCCUGUGGCUGGUGAAGCCGAUGGCGCAGCUCCCAGACCUGGUCUGUCAGUUCAAACACUUUCCUGCGGAGGGCGUCCUUCUCUGUCAGGCUCUGAGAAAUCUCCAUCCGGGCCGCGUCUCUCGCGGAGUAGGCCUGGGAGGCAGAAAGGAAAGGAGGGAGGAUGGCACGCAGCGAGCGAGCGAGCCGGCCAGCGGGGGACAGCAGUGGCGGGGACUCGGCCAGGCGGCACCCCGGGGCCCCUCCCCUCCGGGCACCUGGUCUCGCUCUCGCCGCAGCUCCAGCAACUGGCCCUGUAGGGCGCUGAUCUUCUCCUUGUAGAUGUCACAGUCGACCUUAGUCCUCUGGAACUGCAGCAAGGUCUGCUCCUUCUCCUCCCAGUACUGGACGGGGGACAGACACAGCCCAUGCAGGCCAGUGGCUCUGGGGGCUGACGACGGGGUGGGGCUGGGGUGCCUCGGGGAGGCAGAGAGGGGGGACCGUCCAGAUGGUAACAGAGGUGACUUCCUGCCCGUGUCUUAAGUGCCAAAUUUCAAGGUGCGUCUAUCCACAGGGCUGCUAUGCUGAUUAUAAUUGAAUUUAGUCGGUACAGCGUGUGACUCUGGAUCUCGGGGCUGCGGGUUCGAGCCCCACGUUGGGUGCAGAGAUCACUUAAAAAUAAAAUCUUAAAGAAAUACGCAUGGGUGUUGCAUGUACAACUGUGCUUCAUUCACUCCACGUCCCCAGAGACGUAAAUAAUUUCCCUCGACGCUACCGCCUCAUUUUCUCGCGCUGUCUCCUUCCUCUGUGUCCUCCCCUUGCCUGUUGUGGCAACUGAAUAAACCCCUGGUGCUGGCCCCGGGGGCCCCCACCGGAGAGCACCCUCCGUUCUAUUGCUCGUUUGUCCGAUUGCUCUCUGACCACCCGCUAACCGGACGGGGCCUCUAGCCUUGGGUCUGUGUUCCACGUGGCUUCCGUGAAGGAUGAGCGGUCGGGCCAGCGUGCUCGGGAAGCGGCGCUGGGUUUAAGCGCGGUGUGGUCUCAAGGGCCCGCGGCCCCCGCCCGUGCCCCGCGGUGCCGGACGCGGCCCUGAAGGGUCACCUGCUUCCGCUGCCUCUCGGCGGCCACGGCCCGCUGCCUCAGGGAGUGGAUACGCUCCACCAGCGUCUGUGUGCCCUCCAGGGCCUCGUCCAGGUUCUGUUCCAGGAUGUCCUUCUCCGCCUGGGGCAAAGAGAGGUCAGCCCCGGGGCCCUGGCCUCCUGAGACGCCUGCCCCUGGGAAGCACCCUAUCGUUCUUCCCUGGGAACGGGCAACAGGAAAUCUCGAGGCCGGGCGCGUGGAUGGAUUUGGCCUUAUUCCCGCGCAUCUCACAGAAGGAAAGGCCGGGUCAGCCGUCAAAACGGGUGCAUUUCACUUCUACUUCCACGCGGUCGGCGACGGAAGGUAAAGGAAACCGAGAGUCCCCGGGGGUGGCAGUGUCGGGCCACUCCGUCCCCAGAGCCACCAGCAGGGUCUCUGAGAGACGGAACACCGACGGACACGCCCUUGCCCGUCGCCCGCUCUGUGGGAAGGGGCUUAGGCGCGAUGGCACCAUCCAGGCCGCGUGACAGACAGCGCCAGGGCGGCCACCUACCCUGCACCCGGCGGGUCAGCUCCUUGUCCCCGGGCCCCAGGCCGUCGGCCAUCUGCGGGGAACGCUCUCGACAGUCCCGCUCGUGGGAAGAAGACAUCUUCUCGCGUUCUAGCUCUUGCUUCAGCAGAGAGUGAGCAGGGGAGCAGCAGAGAGAGGAGACACAGAAUCCGAAGCAGGCUCCAGGCCCCGAGCUGUCAGCACAGAGCCCGUUGUGGGGCUCGAAACUCACGAACCGCGAGAUCAUGACCUGAGCCGAAGUCGGAUGCUUAACCGCUUAAUCGAUCGAGCAACGCAGGCGCCCCUAAAUUUUUUGUUAAUGUUUAUUCAUCUUUGAGAGACAGAGCAUGAGCAGGGAAGGGGUAGAGAGAGGGAGACACAGAAUCCGAAGCAGGAUCCAGGCUGUGAGCUGUCUAGCACAGAGCCUGACGCGGGGCUCAAACUCACGAACCGCGAGAUCAUGACCUGAGCCGAAGUCAGAUGCUUAACCGACUGAGCCACCCAGGCACCCCUAGCUGUAUUUUGUAGAUGAGGCAUAGCAGUUAAAUGACUGGGUUGGGGCCCCAGGAACAGAGCAAGGAACCCCGGGGAAUCGGCUCUCUGACCGUCUCGGAAAACAAAUCCCCACGGCUGGUGGUAAGUAGCCAGUGACCAAGUGUCCUCCAGCAUGCUCCCUGGCUUCCCCGCCUUUCCAUAUUCUGCUAAAUCCGUUGCAUAAAAGGAACUGAGAUUUGUGAAAAGCAGUAAGUGUAAAGAAAGAGGAAAGACAAGUCAGACGGAGCAGAGAUGACGGGUCUAUGCAGAUGCACUCGUAAUCCACAUGCAAAUAUGUGUCCCCCAGCAGGGCUGCUUGUCCAGGGCUGUGGGUCUCUGGAAAUUACAUGCCUGGCCUCCACCCUGCCAGACAGUGCCCCCAAGAGAAACUCAGAUCUGGAACCAAGAUCCUGCCCUCUUGGAAUCCUGGGUGUGGUGUCCGUGGGGAGAGGGGACUUUCCCCAAGAGGAGAGCCCAGGAAAUGGGGAGUCAGGGUGGAGUCAGCACUCACUCGGGUCAAGGAGAGAAGGAAGAACCUUUCCACUUGGACUUUUUCCCCUCUGACAUCUACUUGGUGAAUUUUCUGUAAGCAACGACAAAGUUCCUGCUAUGGGCCAACUGGGUUAGGUGUGUCGUAUCCUACAUUUUCAAAAAGUAAAAUUAAGUCAUUAAGAUCAGAAUGGGGGGGGGGCACCUGAAAUUGAUAACAAAGCUAAGCAAAUGAACCUAAUGAUAUUUCAAACAGGAGAACCACCAUGAGGGGAGAGGGAGGGGGAGGGAUUCAGAGACCAGCAGCCACAAUUCGGGACUGAAGUACAAACCCUCAACAUUCCUUAGCAGCUCUGUUUCCCGUGCUGGUGUGGGCACAGCUAUGCUGAAAGUAUUUUCCAUGCACUGUAGGACUGAGCAAGUGAGUGUUCGUGUGGGUGGCAGGGUUCUCGCCGGGGGGCUAGGGGCGCCCGAGUAUGGAAUGGGGGAGGAGGCUCUGGGGAUCGCCUGGAAUCUGAGGUGUGGGUGUGAUCUCGUGGCUUCUAAAAUACAAGUGUGUGUGUGGACACGCAUACGUGCACGCCUGUUUGUAUGCGUAUUCGUACAUUUAGGUGCACGCUUCCUAGUUCUGUCUGCUGGAAGGACCGAGGAGUUAUGAGCUCACCUAGAGCCCUGAUCUUGGUCUCUGCACGGAACCAGGCCCUUCGGGGAGUGGCUGAGCCCAGAGCUGGGGCCGGGUGGGGACCAGAUGACCCCGGAACCUCUUGUGCCUCCAGAGAGGGAGUCCGUGCUCGGAAUAUGAGGGGGCGUGUCACAGGACACGGAAGAGAUUAAAGGGGCUCCCGCUGGCCAAAUCUGGGACACUUUGGGCAAACUCAUUCAGGACAGCGACGUGUUACAGGCAACUGGAUGUAAGAAUGCACGUGUCUGUGCCAACAACAGACGCACACACUGGGGAAUAAGGCUCCUCCUCGCGGUCAGGAUGUCGAGGGCCAGCUGGUUGACCAGAGGGGUCACUGGAGAUGGGCUCAUCAUCCUGCAACCACCAGACUAGAGAUGAGUUUGGGCAAGAACCCCCAGUGAGGCUCUCCAGGGGGAAAUGUCGAUUAAGGGCAGGGUGCUUGCUGGUUCCAGAGCCCCCCAUACCCAGGCUGCUUCUCCGCUGCUGGAAGAAAAAGGAACAGCAGGUACAGGGGAGGGAGCGGACAGCCCCUGGGCCAGGUGGGCAAUAUUAACAUCAGCACCGAGGGGCGCUGGGCCUGGUGCCACGGUGGGGUGACUGGACCCGGGCCCAGCGUCCCUGUGCAGGUCCCACCAAAAAGGCAUAACCCCCAUCCAGUCACCAGGACACAGGAGACAAACCCGAAAUGAGGAAUGGUCUAUUACAGAAAAGAAGGGCCAUGAGGCGCCUGGGGGGGCUCAGUGGGUUGAGUGUCUGACUUGAGCUCAGGUCAUGAUCUCACAGUUCUUGGGUUCAGGCCCCACAUCGGGCUCUGUGCUUACAGCUCAGAGCUUGCUUGGGAUUCUCUCUCCCUCACUCUGCACCUCCCCUGCUCACUCUCUCUCUC